rnacentral:lncRNA from 1 species
GUUUCUUAAGUGUUGUUCUGUUUUUGUUUCUGUAUUAAGGCUUGGUUGUUUCUUAAGUGUUGUUCUGUUUUUGUUUCUGUAUUGCUAUAAAAAAAUGUUAUUCUCGGUUUCUAUAUCAGUAUAUCACAUUGCAUUCUUGUUUCUGUAUUGCUAUGACAAAUUACAUUAUUGUUGAUAACACACUGCUCUUCUUUGUUGUUAUAUAUCGCUUACA